ACGACACUGCCUAGCUGACGGCACCCUGAGGAGUCCCUCUCUGUGAGAGCGCACGGGUCGGUGAGAGGUAUCUGGUCGCAGUAGGCGGUCCCGUAGAUAACCCGGCCCUAUGCCAUGGAGCGCUUUAAAGGUGGUCACCAAAACCUUGAAGCGCACCCGGAAGGCCACAGGUAGCCAGUGCAGCCUGCGCAGGAUGGGUGUUAUGCGGGAGCCACGAGGGGCUCCCUCUAUCACCCGCGCAGCCGCAUUCUGAACUAACUGCAGCCUCCGGAUGCCCUUCAAGGGAAGCCCCAUGUAGAGAGCAUUGCAGUAAUCCAGGCGAGACGUCACAAGGGCGUGAGUGACCGUGCAUAGGGCAUCCCGGUCCAGAAAGGGGCGCAACAUAGAAGAUCAUUUUCAAUUUUAAGGUCUGGCAGAAGGCAAUAGUAAUUCAAAUAGAAAGUUCCCUCAGUCACAAAUUAUUUAAAAAAUGUUUGGUGUUUCUAGCCACCGAGCCUUCUAUCUUUCUAUAACUGUCAGUACAGAGUUGUUUUUCCAACUUGGCAACUUUCAGAUGUGUGGACUUCAACUCCCAGAACACCUUAGCCAGCAUUAGGUUGCCAAGUCUGAAAGAUACUUCUCUAGAAUAUUCUUUGAAGUUUUAUGUCAAAGAAACAGCAGGUAGAAUACUUUUGCCAGGGUAAAACAAAAGAAAUUAUUGACAUAAUUACAUGUUACGCUUAAAACACCGGUAGACAUUAAAUGUCAUUAAAAUCUGUACUUUAAAAUCUCAAUAGAACUCCAUUUGUCUAAAUCAAAUUACUUUGACUCAACUUUGAUUUUUAUAAGAAUAAACCAUAAUUGUGAAUAGAGUGGACACUGGGAAAUAUCAAUUAUCUCUAGGAAUGCUAUUAAAACAUCAAUCACAAUGUUUUUAAUGGCAACAAUUACUGACGUUUUCUCACAUCCCACAUUUAUAGAAUUCCAAAGAAAUCUCCUGAACAAAUCAUUUCUAUCAGAAUACUUAUCACUAAUAAUUUGAUCAAUUAAAUGAUCAAAUUAUUAUUAGAACCCACUAUGUUAUAAGUGAAUUUUUUUCUCUCAUUUUUCUCUCACAUUGCUGAUUCUGGAUCACCAGAUACUCAUGACAGACGUUAAAAGAGUAUUAACGAUUAGAUUAAAUAUAGCUUAUUUGUGUAAAUAAUUCAAGGUGGCAAACACGCCUAAUGCUCCUUUCUUUUAUGUUUCCACCACAACAAUCCUGUGAGAUGAGCUGUGUUGACAGAGACUGACUGGCCCAGUGGUGGGAGGCUGCCGGAUUAACAACCGGUUCGGUGAGCGCGUGUUAAGGCGCUUGUGUGCAGCGCUGAAAAUGGAGCAUUUAGAAGCUCAGCUGCUUACCUUCCAAGUCAGCAAUGCUUACAGCAGUCAAGGAAUGACUACGGGUUCUAUCAGCCCAGUUUUUGGAAGCAUCUGUGAGGAAUGUAAAUUUGAAAGUACAAGUCCAAUCAUUUCAACAGAGGGAUGACUUCUUUGUACUUUUAAAUUCUGAGGUGCUAUUUGGUGGUGACAGAAGAGGUGGUUAUCUGUAUGAGGAAAGAAGUCUGUGUUGGGGAAUGAGAAUUGGUGUCUUCAGCCCUUCAUGCCCUGGACUCUCAAUCAUUGCUUGCUUCAAUUCCAUUGACCAAUCAUCAUUUCAGGAGUUCCAGGAAAAAAGGGAAGGUUGGAGACCACCUGCUAAGUGGACCAAUGGUUUCUUGAAGAGGGGAUGCAUCAUCAUCUCCUUCCAGGUCAAUAAUACUACCUCCAUCCUGAAGAUGCGUACACAAUUUUAUUUUAUUUAUUUAUUUAUUUUUGUCACAACAUCAUACAAAAAGAUUAUAUAGUAUAUACACAUAUAAACAUAUAUAGGAAGAAGAAAAGAAAAACAAUAGGACAGGAACGGUAGGCACGUUUGUGCGCUUAUGCACGCCCCUUAUGGUCCUCUUAGGAAUGGGGUGAGGUCAAUAGUAGAAAGUUUUUGGUUAAAGCUAUUAGGAUAAGCUCCCAACACCUCCCUGGAGGCUUUCACCACUUUAUAAGAAUCAAGUUCUAAACCACAAGUGACGUACAUCAGUCCUUAAAAUGGGCAGGCUCAAACUCAUCUCAGAUAAUCCUGCAAGAAGAAGGUUCUGUCUUCCUCUAUCUUCCUCUAUGUCAAUCCUGAAAAUAAAAAGGAUUAACCAAACCAAAUACCACCAUCCAGCAAUUGCAUUUUGAUUCUCUUUGUUAAUAAUCGUUCCUAUUACCCUUCCUUACCCCCCCAUCUAUUUCUCUGAAGUUAAAGUCAUUCCUAAGCUAAUGGUCUCUUUGUUUCAGUCCCCUCUUUAAAACUGAUAUUCCUGAACAGGUGUUCACAGAAGACAGCACAUUUCCUAUUGUCCUUUGUAUUGCUAGGUGUGCCAUCCACUUUCUUGGGUAACUCCUUACCCCAGCAAGAAAGCUCAUCCAGCUCAGCAUCUCCUGGAAAGAUUGACUUGACUUACUCUUCUACCCCAAAAUGCUCAUCUUCUUUUCUCUCCAGAAAUCUCCUUUUCUACCGCCUUUCCCUGAACAAGUGAUGCCCGUACAAACAAGUGGGCAUGUAUAAAUGCUAUCUCUUUACACUUUCUGUCUUCUUUGCUGUGGACAAAGUUUUAACAUUACACUUUUAAGCCUUCUGUCCUUUCUACUAUGGCAAAAGCUACUGACUUAUUUGCUUGCUGGCAUGCCUCAGACUCUUUUGGCCUUACAUUGAACUGCUCACCCACCUUGGCACAAAGUCUUCUGGUGUGUUUAGUUUCUACUUUGCUUUUUCUGCCUAUAUAGUUGAACUCUGUGUGAGCUCCAUUAGAAUCAAUUGCUUCUAGAAAUCAUCUAUUUACCGUCCUUCUCUGAACUCACUCUUUGUCCCUCUCUCUCCUUUAAUUGCACGUACUGCGUUCUUCAUAGUCUAGUAUUAACCACUUCAGAUCUCUUGUGUUAGCUUUUACACUGCUGAUUGGAAUGUUCUGUGAUUAGCCUCCUUUGUUUUUUUGAUAAGUACAUCGCUUUAUUAUUCAUUAUAACUUCAUUCUUGGACUUCUGAACACCCGUGUUUGUUUCUGCAGCCUCCCCCAUUCAUUAAACAUUUUUGCCAAAAUUUAAAGAUUCCUUAACAUGUUGACAUCUAAAGGUGGCCAAAUCACAUAGUAACAAAAGGGAGGGUUUAAAUUCAUUUCUUGCAGCAAUGCUUAAAGAAGAAGGAGCAUAUGGAAGAAAGAAUCCAUACAAUACGUUUAUUUGGUUCUGAAAAACACAUUUCUGUUCUGACCAUACAGGAUUUCAAUUGCAAAGCAUUUAAGCUAUUGAUACAUUUGUCCCCAUGUUGAAAAAAAGGCAUUGCUUUGUAGGAUGCUGUAAGAACAACAUUAUCCAAGUAGAGGAAAAGAAACUUUCAUCCGUUUGUUAAAAUAAAUUAGGAUAAAUGUGAGGACUGUCUAAUGUUCAAAGUUGACAGCUUCUUUCUUUUCAGGAUAAUAAAGAAAGGAAUUGCCCUUGGUGGAUAAAAGCUUGGCACAGGUUUCCAGAGCAUUUAGCUAUUUGGCACAUUGUCUUAGCUUAGAGAGGCAUAACUAGGUUAAAAAAAUAGCAAUUGUUAUGUGAGGACAAGAAUGUAGGAAAUAGUGUGCAAAAAUGACAUCUAAUUUAUUGUCUUCCAAUUGGAUUUCUUACAUUAUACAUGAUGGGCCUUUUUGAGAUUGCUCUUACUCCAAUCAUUCCUCUUUACUGCCAUGCUGUUAACAGCAAUUU